UCUAUCGCGAGAAGUGAAAGAUGAAAAGGAAAGAAUACAGAUGGGAAAAAUCCUCAAGCCUGAAACUUAUAAACUGGAUUUAGGAUGACCCUUUAAUCAUCAAUCUGUAUAGUUUUUCUUUUUUUUUUUCCCAAAAAAAGUUGGGAUCAUCUUUUCUUGUUUGCAGCCCUACUUUUAUUAGUAGUAAUUAAUCGAAGAAUCGGAGUAGCAGCAGCGUCAAAUUACUUACUUAUUAGGAGGAGCAGGGACGAUGGCCUCCUCCCGCUGCUGCUGCUGCUUUGGCUUUACCACCACCGACAUCCCAAUUACUACUACUACUACCACCACUCGUAGUUAUCGCCCCCAAUUUGUUCAGCACAUGAUUCAGCUGCAGCAGCUCCCACCUCACCCCUCUAACCCCUGCCGCCACUUUUUGCAUCAUUCCCCCGCUUCUUCUUCUUCUGCUCGACUACUAAAUGCAACAUCGUUGCCUUGCACCUCCUCAUCUUCAUCUUCUUCCUCACCCUGGGAUGAUAAACCCUACGAAUUGUUGCCGAAUGGCAGAAUAUCAUACUUGGACGAGCAGGACAUCGUCUCAUUUCUUGAUCCUCCCAAACACCUCAUUCCUUUGGACCCCUCUUCUUUCAAUCCCGCCUCUUAUCUUUGGAAGAAAAUUGAGGAUAUUCCAGAGGAAAGGCGGCGUCGUUUGCUUUCUUUGCUCAAUCCCAGGCUCAUAUCAAGAGCAUGGGAAAUAGCAGGCACGCGGUAUGACGAUCCCAAGUUAGCUGUGAAAAGCGCAUCCAAUCUGCUCUCUCAUGCAGAUGAUCAUGCAUUGCCACUUGAAUUUUGGAACUGCCGAACAAGUGGAGGGCCACUUGCCAUUGCCUGGAUGAAAUAUUUGAAGAAGGCAUUGUUUUACAGCAAGGAAAGGACAUAUGGACGAUUCAUUGGUAUGUUGAGAUGGUAUUUACAUUUUCGGUUUCUGCUUGUUAUCAUAAUCAGAGAAUUAGGCUCCGUUUAUGUUGGUUACAUGGUCUCAAGACCUGAUGCCACGCCGGCUUCAACCAAGUUUAUUGUAUCAAUAGCUGACCGAGUGCAGUAUGAUGUCUGGCGUUUUAGGGGGAUCUCUUCUGGAGGGAAUUUCAAGUUCCUUUAUCCCGUUGUAUUUCACGAUCAGAGAAAUCCACGAAGUAGUGUCGACAGAGCAGCCUUGUGAUUUAGCAUAUGAAUUCGGCGACGGACUGUUGGAUCUCUCUGAUUAUCCCCGGGGCUUCCCCAAGCCAGCAAAACAUCCAUGGCCUUUCUGCGAUCAAGUUGUCGUAUAUGUCCGUCAUCUGGGACCCGGAGUAUUGGUUGGCCAGGCUUGGCAAGAAGGGGAAGCACUGGAACAAGUUCCUACAAAGCUUUGCGGAGAGAUUUUAAUGGUUAAAGACAAUUCUGGUGGCAUGUGAAAUAUUCUCCUACUCCAUCCUCUCUCUUUCCUUUCGCUCCAAUGUUAUGUUGUUGUUAAUUCUUCUUCAAGAAUGUGGCAGAAUGAAUGAAAAGGCCACUGCCGCUGCCACAAGGCAUUUUCUUUUAUUAUCUCUGUUUGCCCUUUGGCUUUGGUCAAAUGAGUCAGGAUCGCAAUUUGAUAAUUUGAGAGGGGCCUAUCCCGUAUUCUUCGUUAAUGAGUAAGGAGCUUCGGAUUCAAUAUAUAGUAGUAUCUCUUUUGCCAUCAUGAUCUACAUUUUCAUGAAAUUGUCAAUAGAUAUCCCUGCUUCACUGUGUGAA